rnacentral:misc_RNA from 1 species
GAACAAUAUCUCGUUUUGCAUCAGAAAUGCAAACAUGGACCGGUCAAACCUAAGAAAUCCCAGUCGCGGAACCACGUCGGGGCCUUAGAUUCUUGUUUUUGGUAUAAAUCCUGAGGUGGGUAUUGCUAAACAUUUGGUCUCUGCAUUUGGGUAUAUUAUAAAUUUCUAAAGAGAUCAAAUCAUGGAAAACGAGAACAAGUACGCUAAAGAAUUGGAUGUGGCAGUUAGAGUUGUUCAUAUGGCUUGUUCUCUUUGUCAGAGGGUGCAAGAGGGGCUGCUUACCGUGAGUACUGACCAGGUUAAGUCUAAGGAGGAUGAUUCUCUGGUUACUGUUGCAGAUUGGAGUGUUCAAGCAACUGUUAGCUGGGUACUUUCAGAAUCUUUUAGGGAUCAAAAUGUAUCCAUCAUUGCUGAAGAAGAUGUACAAACUCUCUCUAAAGCAGAUUCAGCAGGCUUACUGACGACUGUCACAAACACCGUGAAUCAAAUCUUAGCUGAAGCAUCAAAAUAUGGUCUUGAGAGUCCCAAGAAGGCCCUUGGAGGUGAACAAAUUCUUGAGGCCAUUGGUCGAUGCAAUUCAAGAGGGGGUCCUGUUGGAAGGCAUUGGGUACUUGAUCCUGUUGAUGGAACAUUAGGAUUUGUGCGUGGAGAUCAGUAUGCUAUAGCUUUAGCCUUGAUUGAAGAAGGAAAGGUAGUGAUUGGAGUUCUUGGGUGUCCGAAUUACCCUAUGAAGAAAGAAUUGCUGAAUCAUCAUCAUCAGUAUCAUCAGAGCAUGCCUAAAUUGUCUUUACCUACUUCUGAUACAUUGGAAAAAGGAUGUGUGAUGUACGCACAGAGGGGCAGUGGUGAGGCAUGGAUGCAGCCAUUAAUCCAAGGAAAUAAGAAAUUUGAAUGGCCAAAUUCUGCACAAUUCAUACGAGUUUCUUCCAUUGAUGAUCCUGAGCUGGCAACCUUCUGUGAACCUGUGGAGAAAGCUAAUUCGAAUCACUCCUUCACAGCGGGGGUUGCUAACAGCUUGGGGGUUAAAAAACAACCCUUACGUGUCCAUAGCAUGGUCAAAUAUGCAGCCAUUGCUAGAGGAGAUGCUGAGAUUUUUAUGAAAUUUGCAUCGUGUGGUUACAAAGAGAAGAUAUGGGAUCAUGCUGCUGGCGUAGUCAUUGUAGAAGAGGCUGGUGGUGUGGUAACUGAUGCUGGAGGAAGGCGCCUUGAUUUUUCAAGGGGGGUAUACUUAGAGGGUCUUGAUCGGGGCAUAGUUGCUUGCUCUGGGGCCUUACUGCAUGAUAAACUCAUUGGGGCUGUUUACGCUAGCUGGGACUCGUCUAAUCUAUGAAGGCUUCUGAAUCUUGAUGAUGGACUUAUCCAACACAGUUCCCAUACUCUUAGCAGGGCCAAGCAAAUUGCUGGAAAAGGUUGCCUGAUGAUACACAGAGACUUCAUUAUACUGUGCUGUCAAAGAGUAGACUCCUUGGCUUGAGGAUACAAGGUUUUUUCAAGGUUUUGUAUAUCGAAGGAUUGCACCUUUUCAUAUUAUUCAAAUAUAGUGAUAACUGAUAACCACCCUUUAGCUGGGCUACUGCUAGUCUACUACUGUAAUGAAUAGUUUUGAUGGACAGUUUCGCCUUCAGUACUCUUAUGCUGAAUUUAUCACUUUCGAAAUUUCCAUUUAUUAUUUGCAAGGUCU